AUUUAAGUAUUUGUGCCUUUAAAGGUUUCCGGUUACUAAAGUAAUACUUUCUGAAGACUUUUUAUUCAACUUGUAUUCAUAAUAAAGUCGUUAAACCCCAAACUUUCUCCGUCUCUUCCAUCAGGGACACUCAUUCCCUCCUAUGUUGAGCAAAAACAUACACUGAUCUCUUCACUGGGGCUAAUCUUCUUACUAAUCACAAGGUUUGACCGUUGAAACGGAACAAAGUUCACACCGUCGGCUCCAGUGAUACCUCGGCAGAAAACAGAAACCAGAGACAAAAGGAGAAGGAGAACACCUGAAAGCAUGAUCCUUUUCCCUCAGAGUUCCUCUGAAUCCAAAGAUAACCUUUCUUACCUCCCAAACAGCGAUGGGAAAACGGUGACCUUUGCUUUGGCUGCUGAAGGUUUCCAUGUCAGGAACUACCAGAGUACAAAACCUGAAACAUAUUCAGCAUGGAGGUACUGAGUGGCCCCUGGGCUGAUCUGGCUCUGCUCCUGCGACAGACAGCUCUGCUGUCAGACCAGCAGCAGGACACACUGGUCUGUCUGCUUCUUGUCGUGCUGUUUCUGUCCGUCUCUCUGCUGCUGCUGCAACUGAUCGUCUACCUCAGCUGGAAACUCAGACAAGCAGAGGCUGAGCUCGCUGCGUUUCCACGGCAACAAGAUGCCAUCCACAGGCAGGUGAACCAAAGUGCACAUCGCAGGAGGAGUUUUGGUUCUCAUUCAUACAGCUGACGGGGCUCAAAGACAAUGAAGGAAUGAUUUAUUACGGAUGUUGACGGUAGUCCAAACAGAAAAACACUUCCAGAAGGUGAUUGGAAUAUGUGAGAUGAAGAAAAGAGAGCGGAGGAUUUUUGGAUAAUAACAAUCCUUUAUUUGAACAGUGUUACACAGGGAGCAGGAGUGGCUGCAUGUGGAGGAACAAGACAACGAAGCUGCUAAACAAAAAUCCAAGCAACAGUUAGCAAACUAAGAGCAACGCGGCAGCUGGCUGGUUUUUCCCAAACCUGCCAUUUUAUAACUCUUUAUAAACUGUUUUGAGUUCUUAUUUUCUGCUUUAGAAAAUACAAAAUUGUGCUGCUUUCUCUUUAACGUAACAAGCCAGUAAGGUUUAGAAGUUUCCAAAAUUCUGCUGAAAUUGCAGUCACUGAGUGAAGAGAUCCCUGAUAGUAAUCAGAUGAGCUGGCAUUGAAUCGACUUUUAAUAAAAUGAUGCAUCAAAAACA